rnacentral:rRNA from 1 species
GCUAAACGCGAAGAACCUUACCUGGGCUUGACAUGUUAGUCGCAGACUUGCGAAAGCUUGUCGUCACUUCGGGUGGACUAUCACAGGUGCUGCAUGGCUGUCGUCAGCUCGUGUCGUGAGAUGUUGGGUUAAGUCCCGCAACGAGCGCAACCCUUGUGACUAGUUGCCAGCGGGUCAUGCCGGGAACUCUAGUCAGACUGCCCAGAUCAACUGGGAGGAAGGUGGGGACGACGUCAGGUCAGUAUGGCCCUUACGCCUUGGGCUGCACACGUACUACAAUGCCCAGUACAAUGAGAACCGAUGCCGCGAGGUGGAGGAAAUCUGUAAAACUGGGCCCAGUUCGGAUUGGAGGCUGCAACUCGCCUCCAUGAAGUUGGAAUCGCUAGUAAUGGCGCAUCAUCCACGGCGCCGUGAAUACGUUCCCGGGUCUUGUACACACCG